rnacentral:ncRNA from 1 species
AAUGUUGAAUAGCAAACCGCCUGAAAGGACGGGACGCAAAGCUUUGGAGGCUAUUAGA